rnacentral:rRNA from 1 species
CCUACGGGUGGCAGCAGUGGGGAAUAUUGGACAAUGGGGGGAACCCUGAUCCAGCCAUGCCGCGUGUGUGAAGAAGGCCCUCGGGUUGUAAAGCACUUUCAGUGAGGAAGAACGCCUGGUGGUUAAUACCCAUCAGGAAAGACAUCACUCACAGAAGAAGCACCGGCUGACUCCGUGCCAGCAGCCGCGGUAAUACGGAGGGUGCGAGCGUUAAUCGGAAUUACUGGGCGUAAAGCGCGCGUAGGUGGCUUGAUAAGCCGGUUGUGAAAGCCCCGGGCUCAACCUGGGAACGGCAUCCGGAACUGUCAAGCUAGAGUGCAGGAGAGGAAGGUAGAAUUCCCGGUGUAGCGGUGAAAUGCGUAGAGAUCGGGAGGAAUACCAGUGGCGAAGGCGGCCUUCUGGACUGACACUGACACUGAGGUGCGAAAGCGUGGGUAGCAAACAGGAUUAGAUACCCUGGUAGUC